rnacentral:tRNA from 1 species
AUCUCGGCAGUGUAUACUCCACGUAUCAUUUUCGUUGAUAAAAAGAGGCAUUAGCCUCCUGAGAUA